AUGGGGAUGAGGCAAAGCCGGAUCCGGGCGCGGUCCCGGAAGGUUCCGGAAGUCCGGGCGGCCGUGACCCUGCUGGAGUCCGGGGGGGACCUCCAGCCCCCCGGGGGGUCCCUGCGCCUCCUCUGCCGCGCCUCUGGAUUUGAUUUUGGGAAAUUUGAGAUGGACUGGUAUCGCCAGAGACCCGGGAAGGGGCUGGAAUUCGUGUCCAGCAUCAACCGGAGGAACGGCGAGACGUUCUACGCGCCAUCCGUGCGUGGCCGGUUCAGGAUGGGCAGCGACAACGGGCAGAGCUCGGUGACGCUGAGCAUGAACAACCUCCAGGACGAGGAUUCCGGGGUUUAUUUCUGCGCCAGACGUUUGGAUGAUUACGCCAGUGCCGGCGUCGCUUAUGAAUUCCCAAAUCCUGCCCCAAUCCGUGUCCAAAACCCUCGCCCGCGGUGA